rnacentral:rRNA from 1 species
CCCUUAGAUGUUCUGGGCCGCACGCGCGCUACACUGACGAAUGCAACGAGCUUAUAACCUUGGCCGAAAGGUCUGGGUAAUCUCCAAAUUUCGUCGUGAUGGGGAUAGAUUAUUGCAAUUAUUAAUCUUCAACGAGGAAUGCCUAGUAAGCGCAAGUCAUCAGCUUGCGUUGAUUACGUCCCUGCCCUUUGUACACACCGCCCGUCGCUCCUACCGAUUGAAUGGUCCGGUGAAGCGCUCGGACCGCGGCCUCUUGACGGUUUUCCGUCGAUUGGCUGUGGGAAGUUCGUUAAACCUUNUNAUUUAGNGGAAGGAGAANUCGUANCA